CCUCUCUCUCUCUCUCUCUGUCUGUCUCCCUCUCCUUGUCCGUUCCUUGCCUCUUUGUCUCUCUGUCUGUUACUGUGAAGCUUCUUUAUCUGAGUAGUUUUCUUUUUACCCAUCCCCAUACCCCUCCUUUUCUUGUAUUUGUGCAGCUCCAAGAAAGAAACGAAGAAAGAUAUCGCAUUUUAAAAACCCUUUCAAGUAGUAUCCACCUUCAUCUGCUGGUUCAACCUCAUCCUCAUGGAAGACUAUUAUUAUUCGGGGAACCAUGUACCAGCCUUUGGGAGCUGGGACUGGAAUGAUGACCUCCCUUUCACUCAGUGUUUUGAGUCUGCUAGGCAAGCUGGGUUGCUUCGUUACAGUUACUCAGAGGAUCGGGAUUUAUAUGUUACUGGUGAUUUGUAUGAGAGUGAUGUGGUCGCACCGGCCAUGAUUGUUGUUCCUCGCCGAAGGGCAAAACUACGUCGCUACCGUGUCAAAGAAGAGAAAAAAAAAGCAGCGGCAGCAGCAGCAGCAAAGUUGGGUGUUUGGUGGCAUGAAAGAACCACCGAGCCCCACUGCUCCUCCUCCUUAUCCUAUAAUGGCCAGGCAAACACCUAAGCCUGUUGAUGAAGACUUGUACAGAGUCUCACCACAGCUUCUUCGUGCAAAACACAAAAAGGCAUGCAUGCGCUAAGCUUCCCUGUUUCUUCUCAUUCUAUCUUGUUUUAAUUUUGGCUUAAUACAUGUUUUGCACCUAAACUUUAUCUAGCAUAAUUAACAUUUAACACCUUUAUAAAAGUGUUAAUAUUUGCCAUAUAAAUUUUAUAAAAGUGUAAUUAUUAAAUUUCUAAAUUUUAUAAAAAAAUAUAACGAAAUGUUAGAGUGCAUAUAAAUUUCGUUCAUGCAAAAAAUUAAAUAAUUACAUUUUCACAAAAUUUUAAAUAUCAAAUGUUAAUAAAGUAAAAAUGAGAAUUUCAAGUUACUUUUUAAGUAAAGUCACUAUCAAAAGUUGUAUUCAGGCAAAGAUGGAGCUAGGGGUGGGUAAGGGGGCAUUGAGCCACCUGAAAUUUUAAAAAUUUUUAAGGAUUUAAUGGUAAUUUUAAAAAAAAAAAAGUUUUCUAUUUUUAUAUCAAAUUUUGAUGAGUACGAGAGACCUUGAAGGUUUUAAAAACUUGAAUUUAAUAGUAAUUUUAUAUAAAUUUUAUUUUAUAGUUAUGAAACGGUUAUAAUCAUUACUUAUUCAAUCCCUUUAAUCAACAUUUAAGUAAGUAAUUUAUUAACAAAUCAUAUAUUUUAAUUGAGCCCCAUAAGCUAAAAUUCAGGCUUCGUCGUCACUGUAUUCAGGCUUCUUCUUUUAUUCUUUAAUUUGAUUUCUUUUAUGAUCAUAGAUGAAGGUGAGUCUUGUAGGCUGAUAUCUUUUUGACUUUCCACUAAAGUUUUCUUCUUUCCUUUUUGUAUAUUGUGCAGAAGGGAGGGUUGAGCUUCUUUUCAAGCUGCUUGCUGCCAACUUGUGUAUUGUGAAGCUUGUAGGAGAAGUACAUAUAGGGAGUGAAGAGUAUACUUAAAAAGAAAAAGAAAAUAAUAAAUUGGCGUUUUUAUCCGCUCAUUGGGUUUCCACUAGAGAAAUAUUGCUACUAGCUAGUAUCUAAGUGAAAGGUUAUCUAGCCUGGUUUGACUCUGCAGUUAAAAGCAUUUUACUCAUCUAGUAAGUGUUAGAUUCGAAUUCCUAUUCUCCUAAUUCUAUAUCUAAGUGAAGGGUUUUAAUUAUUUCAAAUUUCAUUUCUUUUGAUAAGGUCAUACUUCUCUAUUCUCUACUAUGGCAUUGACAAAUGACUAUAGGAAGAUAUUAGAAAUCAAGGGUUGUAAAAAAGAGAGAGUAAUGUAUAUUUGUAUUCCCUUCUAUGAGAAAAGAUAAAGAGUAUUGAGUACUAUUUUUAGCUUCUUCUUUUUCAAAGACAUGAUGAAAAUCAAAUUGAGACCACACAUCACAUUUGGUACAAUUUAAUUAAUUGACUGAUUGUGACACAUUGACAUUUUAAUGUAAGAUCACUGUUGAUGUGCUUUAUUUUUUGCAUAGCACUUUUAUAUGCUUUUAUUUCAUGCUUCAAAUUUUG
rnacentral:misc_RNA from 1 species